CUCUAGUCCGUUCUUUUCAUGCUCUUUCCAGAUCCUUACGUGCACCCAUUGGAAGACCAAUGGGAAGAACCAGCUUGCACAAGUAGAAUGGUGCUGUUUGAACUCUUUGUCCGCGCAGAUAUCGAUGAGGUCCACUCCUUCUGACAUGGCUCAGGAAGGACGAUCUGGCACCCGGAGAAGGGACAAAGUAAAAGACACACCACGGGAAUAUGGCAGCGGCGCCGAGUCCGGACUAGGCCCGCAAGUCCACCAAUAUUAAUGAGACAGAGCCUUGGUAUUCAGAGGUCUAAUGGCUUCCUCCAUCUAGUCACUGCACUAAUAGUUAAUGGAGUCCACAUUCAAAACUAGAUCUGUUUAUAUUAAAGCACAAGCAUUUAUCCAACAUGUGGUGCUGCUGCCUCUAUCAUUUCUUUCCUUUUGGAUUUCACUGAGGAUUCCAUAGCCAUUUAGAUUCUAUCUCAUCACUGAAACUGACUUUUUCUUUGUGGUAUACCAAAUCCAGUACACUAAAUACACUGCACAGCCUGUGGAUGGCUGACCCUGUGGACAAUGAGUAGGAAGGCCACACUCAUGCUGGGAAGUCCUUUCUCUUGGGCUGGCCCAUGGAGAACUUUGUGAUGACCUUCAGUCGGCUGCCUCCAAGGUAGCCCAGCCUCCAGUGAUGGAGGGGAACUGCUCACGGCAUGGUGACAGGAAGCAUAUGGAGAGGGAAGGAGCUGUGGAGAGAGAUAAACCCUUCCAGGCCAGGUGCCCAGUGACCAUCUCCUCUAACCAGACCCCACCUUCCAACAGUAAGCCAGCUAUACUACUCUUAUCUCCAGUCACCUUUGAAACACAUAAGACUUUGGGGGCCAUUUUAGAUCUAAAACGUAACAGUUUUGAUCAGUGGAUUUUCAGCAGUGCUCCAGGAGCUACUUGGAGGUAGUGAGUGUGCUGGGCUGUGCAAGGAAGCUAAGGGAGCAAGACUCUAGCCACCCCUCAACUUCC